UUGCUGGUUCAGUAUUAAAGAAGAGUAUGUAAGGAAGAAUAGAUGAAAUACAUUAUUCAAAAUUAAACUCUCUUACAUCAAUUCCCUCUAUAAAUUAUUCCUUCCAAGUCUUUACAACUCAAGACAAACACAUCCAUGCAGGAAAAGAGAGAAUAGAGAGAGCUUCAACCAAAGAAACUUCACCAAAUAAUUAGUUUCAUCACACACAAAAAAUCACUUCACAAAAGUUGAGUUUUCUCAUAACAGCAAUGUCAACAACUCUACCACCACCAUACACAACUUAUGCACCACCUUUACCUGCAUCAGAUUUCUUUUCAUCUGAUUCAUCAUCACCUUCUUCUUCAUCUACUUCAACAUUUGGAAUCAUCAUUGGUGUCAUGGUUGGGGUCCUUGGGGUUAUUUUAGCGUUUGGAAUUUGGCACAAGUUUCUUAAGAAGAGGUUUGAAUGGCACAGAGACUGUUCGUAGUGAACCCUAUCUUCAAGUGUUGUGUAUUGUUAUAAUUCAAGUUUCAUUGUAGACGUUAUAAUCUUCAGGUUUUGAUACCAUGGAAGCAGCAAAAAAAAAUACAAACGAUGUGGGGAAAAUAAAUUAAGCCAUUAAUGAAUUGUGUUUUCAUAAAUUUGAGUUCUCAAACAUUCAAUGUUUAUUAUGUUAGUGAAGAUUAUAUAUAUUAUUUUUGUUAAGAAGUAUAUCUGUAAACUUUGAGUGUUGUCCAAACUAGGGGAGGUAUGUUAAGUCCAAACAAAAGGAUUAAUUGUCAAAUAUAUGACUUUGGGUUCAAUAUCAAAUUUUAUAUAUACAAAGAAAAUGAUUCUGAGGGAUUCUCUCUUAAUACAAAUAACUACAUAUUACAAGCAAGAGUGGUUCCCAGAGCAACUAAAAAAACAAAUACGGACUUAGGAAAUGGAUUAAUUCCUUUUGCAAGUAUUAAAAUAUAGCAAAGUGUAUAUGGC
rnacentral:lncRNA from 1 species